UAACAAGUGUUCUACUGCACUUUUUGUAGAAGUUCUUGUGAGGUUUUGGUUGUGGACUCAGGUCUGCAGUUGAUUCUUUGCGAGUCUUCUAUGUCUUACAAACUCUAUUAGUAUGUUUUAGAAUGUCUUUUAUUGGGACUUCAUUGGCCCUUUAAACUUUAUA
rnacentral:misc_RNA from 1 species